rnacentral:sRNA from 2 species
AAUAGGACGAGUUUCUCAAGGGUGGUCGGCACAUUCCCAAUUGAAAGGGCGUGAUGCUGGAUGACAGUUUUCGAAGCCUUAAUGAUUAUGGUUGCGUUCGCAAGCUUAGUUAUUUCUUUGCUGUCAUUUCAAAAAAAAUAAUCCACCCUUGAGUUAGACGCUCAGGUGGAUUAUUGUUCACCGAAUUACCGAUCACCCAAAAGGAAACCGACUAUUCUUUGGCCUUACAUGUUACCAGCAUGUUUG